UGCUCGUUGGUGUAACUGGCAACACUACGGACUCUGACUCCGUCAUUCUUGGUUCGAAUCCAGGACGAGCAACCA
rnacentral:tRNA from 1 species